rnacentral:lncRNA from 1 species
GAUCCACCAAAAGAGAAAAAAUACUUUGGGAAGCAAUAUAAUUACCAAGCUUUCUGUGCCUCAGUAGAUACCUGAUUUCCAGAAUUUCCUCUAGAGACUUCUGGGAAUUUUCUCUUGGGUGAGACCAGUAACACUCUUGGUUGAUCUGAAAAUAUUUUCGAUGCAAAAAUUCCUUCAUUCUGUGUAUUUUCUGGCAUAUCUGUUUUAAAUAACUUCUCUGGAUUCUAUUUGCCAUCUGUUUGGUUUAUUUACUAAUUCACUAAUGAUGAUGGUUUUUUAUGUAAAUAACAUUUUGUGAGAAAGUAAUCAAGUCUUAGGAUAUAAACUUCAACAAAAAAGUGGCUUAAACCUAAAAAUCAUUCUUUUAAACUAACAGUAUUUAGAGGAACAGUUAAAUAUAAUUUCAGUCUGUCCCCUCUUCUUUGAGAAGAAUAGAGUAACCAUCCUCCUUUCCACUUGUCUUGCUCCCAUUUAGGCAAGAAUCAAAAUAUUUCUUGGAUAAAGAUAGGUAAGAUUCAGAGAUAUUUAUUUAAGUCUUCCUGCUAACAACAUUUAAAGAAACCUUGUGGACAGGUAAUAAUAUAGAUGGGUGACACAUACCUUACAUAUAGUUAAGGAACAAGGAUUUUAUUUGUGAUAGACUACUUUGGCAAGGGAAUUAAGCAAUACCCAUUUUUUUCUGAAAUUUUAUAUGACAAUUUUUCCUUUUCUUUUUUUCCCCUUUUACUGCCAUAGUCAUAAUCAUAAUGCAGUUACACAAAGUUCAGCAAACCUGUUCCACUAUUUAAAGUGAAUCUCCGGAAAUAUAAAAGUCUUGAGGUAAAUCAACAUUUUAUGUAUGACCCAAAUCAAAAGCUGCCUGUGAACACUGGAUGACAGAUGCUCACUUAAAGGACUAAUUAAAAUUGAAGAUAGCAGGACUUUAAACAAAUGUCAAGGAUUUUAUUUCUAGCCUACAGACACAAAAAUGGUAUUGUCAUAUUUAUUCCUUUCACAUUUUAUUUUCAAUUUGGUAAGAGCUAUGAUUCUCCUUAUUUAAAAAAAAAAAGCCUUUAUGAUUUCAUUUUAUUCUACCAAAUCUUAUUCACAUGCUGAGUAGUCAUAUAUUAUGUGAUCUUAGCAUGUGCAUGUUUAAUGAUCUUCUAAUUAUUUGUGUGAAUUGAUAUGUAAAGUAGUGGAUGCUCAACAAAGGUUUGGCAUUGUAGUGUGGGUCCAAUUAGAAAAUGUAUUCUCUACAGUUAAAGAUGUUUCUUUAAAUUUUCAUAAUAAGCUGGUAGGUAUAGAAGAAUUUGUCUACAUCUUGAAGACUUUAUAUAUUCACAUUCUCACACAAUGAACUAAAUGUAAUUGAUGAUCUGAGGCACUAUUUUAAAGUCAGUACAAUAUACAAGAAAAAUAUAAGCUAAUUAAAAAGAUAACUUUAAGGAAAGGCUUUAACAGUUUGGAAAUUAGGCAGAGUUCUUUCCUCCUUCUCCUCUUUUUCCUCCUCCUUCUCCUCCUCCUCCUCCUCCUCUUUCUCCUUCUCUUCUUUCUUUUCCUCUUCCUUCUCCUCUAGUGGUCUAUAUACUUUAUUGAGUUAUUUUGGAUAAAAGAAGUUCCUAGUUUUAUUUGUAGUUCAAAGGUUUUCUUAAUUUUGAUUUUAUUAAUCUCUCCUUUGAUGUUCAGAAUUUCUAAUUUGGUGUUUAACUGAGGUUUUUAAUUUUAGGGGUGUGUGUAUGUGUGUAUUUAGUUGCAUGCCCAAUUCAUUGAUUGGCUCUUUCUCUAUUUUAUUAAAUAUUUAGAGAUAUAAAUUUUCCCCUAAGUAGGGAGAAGAUUUUCUUGCAGUAGCUAAUGUUAGAAUUGGAUCUUGAAGAAAGCUCAGAUUGUGAUUGAGAAUAAGGAUCCUCCUGCCUUCCCCACAGAAACCAAAACACAUUCCAGAGGACCUCAAGAAAACUAGCUGAGCCCCAGGCAAGGAGACAAUACCUUGAAGGAGAUAAUAAAGAAUUUGGUCUUUUAACACCUGGCUAUUCUCAUGGUGAUUACUCAGCUAAAAUGAAAGCUGGUUCCAAGACCUCCAGAAAACCAACCAAAUCUGUCCACAUCCAGAGAAAAAAUACUGAUGGAGUCUGAACACAGAUAGAUACAUUCUAUUUUCACUUUUUAAAAAAUAUAGUUUGUUCCUUUGUUCUGUUUCUUGUUUUAUAGCAUGAUUACUGUAGAAGCAUAUUUUACAUGAUUGCACAUAUAUAAUAUAUAGCAAAUUGCUUAUUGUCAUAAAAAAGGGAGAGGAGGGGGAAAGAAAAAUUUGGAAAUAAAAAUCCUAUAAAAAAGAAUGUAAAAAUUUGUCUUUACAUGUAACUGAGAAAAAUGUAAUGCCAGUAAAUCAACAGUAAAAUAAAAGAAAUAUGAAGUAUGGGGUUUAAUUUCAUAAGAAAUCAUUAAGUAAACUUAAAAUAUUUCCUUUCUUAAAGAAGUGUACUUGAAAUUUAGUUCUUUA